GGGGUUGUGGUUCAGUGGUAGAGCACUCGCCUAGCAUGUGAGAGGCACUGGGUUCAAUCCUCAGCACCA
rnacentral:tRNA from 1 species